UGAAAACAGACUAAUACAAAGGCAUGGACUUGUCACCAUCUUUAGGCCUUCUUACUUCCAUUAUCUAAAUUACUCUCUUUUGAACAAAUGCUUUUUUUCAACAGGUGUCUUCUGAGAAGUCAUUUUGAUACAGUAUGAAUUCAAUAAGACAAGUCUUCCAUUGAGUAUGCUUGGGCAAGUACGGCUGGAAUAGAAAAGAUAGUGGAUUCCUUGGCUUCAUCCAAGUGGACUGAGGGUUGAAAUAUUUUUCCAGUCAUGUUCUUGAACACCAACUUUCAUGGCAUGCUGACAUUUCCAGACUACUGAAGUUGUGAUGAUUAAAUGAUCCUGCAUUUGAUGAGAAGAAAGUUUGCACAUUCUAAAGGAGCUACGUUUCAAAUGACUAUAUAGGGUACAAUUUCCACUGAAGUGAUUUCUCUUAAUCUUAAUCCUUAACCACUGUCACUGCUACAGUACCUUCCAAAAGUGAGCAUAGUUUAUAAAGUCUUCAGACUACCUUUCAGCACAUUAACAUACUCUUCACAAUCCCACAGUAAGAGCACCUUAAGUGCAGGGA